UCCCCCCCACUCUCCUUCCUUUAGAAACCGCGACUCCUCCUAUGGAAGCCAGAACUUCUGCUCCCCCAUACCCUUGUGCAGUUCACACAAGAGCCCGACAGAGGGCGCUGCAGCACCGACAGAAACUCCAGAAACCAGACCACUUUCUGGUGUUUUUAGACAUCUAGUUCUCUCUCCACCUCCUCCCCAUGCCGCACCCCCAAACCCUCCCUGGCCCUGCCAGACUUUUUGGCAGCGCAGCGGAAAGGCAACUACCAACCAAGCACAGAGGGAUUUGAUGCUUGACGCCAGGAGUCAGAAUUUAAUUCGGAGCAGAAGCAGCGUUCCCGGAUUCCUUCAGCCCUCAGAAGACCGAGUUUGGCUUCCCUCUGCGGGGAAAGGGCCUAAUUCGUUUCUUCUGACACGGAUGGGGGCGGGGGAUGCCUGAGUGGAGAGAAAACGGAGCCGCUCGGUGCAGAAGCGCAGAGACACCGAAUCUCCACAGAGAAGAUGCUUAAAACCCUGGUCUCCACGCUUGUGCUGAUCCUUAUGUUCAGCGGAGCGGUGAACACGAAGGUUUCUCAGCCUGCUUCGCUGUCUUUCCUGGCGGGGGGCAGCGCUGAUCUCCCCUGUAACCACAGUAUCACUGGCUACGACAGAGUUAUUUGGUACUAUCAGAGCCCCGGAGCUGCCCCUCGAGCUGUGAUCUCUGGCUACAACUCCGCAGAGACGUCGGAGCGGUUUGAACUGUCCUUUGACCCCUCCAGCCUGUCCGCCCCGCUGCGCAUCACCAAGGUGGCGGUGGAGGACUCGGGAGUGUAUUACUGCGCAGUGAGAGACACAGCGAGAGAAAAUGCAGGGCGAGCUGAACAGAAACCUCCCCGAGUCUGAGAGACCUGGGCAGGAAGAGAAGGGAGCUCAGAUAAUCAAAUUACAGGCUGGAUCCUCAAAUGGGGCCAGGAGAAAGGACGCAUGGAACCCCAGUGAGCAAUAAGCGCCCAACUCCCUUAGGCUCCUUUGAAAAUCUCUGUAUCCAAAGAGACUCAGGUAAUUACAAGCCUAAUUGCUAUUGUCUUCCAAUAAAAAGAAGGCUCCGAAGGGUCAAAUGUGCAAAGAUCUAAAGAUCCAGAG